CCUACGGGUGGCUGCAGUAGGGAAUAUUGCUCAAUGGGGGAAACCCUGAAGCAGCAACGCCGCGUGGAGGAUGAAGGUUUUAGGAUUGUAAACUCCUUUUGUUAGAGAAGAUAAUGACGGUAUCUAACGAAUAAGCACCGGCUAACUCCGUGCCAGCAGCCGCGGUAAUACGGUGGGUGCAAGCGUUACUCGGAAUCAAUGGGCGUAAAGAGCGCGUAGGCGGGAUAGCAAGUCAGAUGUGAAAUCCUAUGGCUUAACGAUAGAACUGCAUUUGAAACUGUUAUUCUAGAGUGUGUGAGAGGUAGGUGGAAUUCUUGGUGUAGGGGUGAAAUCCGUAGAGAGCAGUAGGAAUACUCAUUGCGAAGGCGACCUGCUAGAACAUAAUUGACGCUGAUGCGCGAAAGCGUGGGGAGCAAACAGGAUUAGAUACCCCUGUAGUC
rnacentral:rRNA from 1 species